AAAAUUACACUGGUAGCGGGCUAGCAGCAUAACCCUCUGUUCAUCGGACCGCUGCACAUCUUGGGCAAACAGCCAAAUACUCCCAAAGUUGGAUGGCUUCUUUGAAAAUAUAUUUUAAUACCAGCUGUUAGUCCUUGCGCAACCUAGAAAACCAAAUUCCCGUAUCUUUUCGUAAUGCUUAUCGCAAAACUUUCCAGAUGGAGAUUAGCCGUCAACCACUAGCACCCAAACGGACCUAUUUAAUGCAUGCGAGCAAGAGUUGGUUUCAUAUCCGACGGCCCAUAGUUUUCCAUCCCGAUCGGAGACAAUCGAUCCACCGUCUCUUCCCCUCCAAAUCCAAGAGAGAAACCCUCGAGCUCUCUCCCUCCUCUCUCUCUCUUCUAAAACCCUCGCCGCCCAGCUCCCAUCCUUUCUGACGCCGCCGCCUAGCUCCCCUCUAGGUUUUCUCCCAAUCUUAGCUUCCCUCUUCUUAAUAUUUAGGGUUUUGGGCGUCCCGGUAGCGCUCCGGUGAGGCGGGUAUGGAGCCGUCGUCGUCGUCUUCAGCGCCGUCGCCGGCGUCGGAGCAGGGAAAGCUCUUCGUCGGCGGGAUCUCGUCGGAAACGAGGGAGGAGGCUCUCGCGGAGCACUUCAAGAAGUACGGGGAGGUGAAGGAGGUGGUGGUCAUGAGGGACAGGACCACGGGGAACGGCCGGGGCUUCGGGUUCGUCCAGUUUUUGGAGCCGGAGGCGGCAGAGAGGGCUCUUCAGGAAAAGGAGAAGCACGUCAUUCGUGGGAGAACGGUAGAAGUGAAGAAAGCGAUACCCAGAGGUGAACAACAUCAAAGAAACCAAUCCCCUCACCACCGAUACCCAAAUCAGAGCCCCCAUCAUAGUAGAGGGUCAAGUAGGAGCAGUACUAACAAUAACAGUAGCAACGGGAGUCACUUUAAGUCGAAGAAGAUUUUUGUAGGUGGUUUGUCUGACAAUAUCACGGAAGAUGAGUUCAAGAAUUAUUUUAAGGAGUUUGGUACAAUAACGGAUGUGGUUGUGAUGUAUGAUAGUGCAACCCAUCGGCCAAGAGGCUUUGGCUUCAUCACCUUUGAUUCUGAGGAGGCUGUGGAGAAAGUAAUGCAGAAAAGUUUCCAUGAGUUGAAUGGUAAAUUUGUAGAGGUUAAGAUAGCAGUGCCAAAGGAUGGGAAUAAUCAUAACAACAAUGGCAAUCAUGAUAAUAACAAUUAUAACUCACGAACGAUUGGUGGUAGAGGACCUGCUUUUAGUAAUUACCCAGGUGGGAUUUACUCACCUUACAGUCCAAGGUAUGAGUAUUUUCAUGGUUACCCACCACCACCUUUGUAUGCUUAUGGUGCUGGUGGUUAUGGAGGAUAUACUAUUGGAGGCUAUGGUGGGAUUGGUUAUGGAAGUCCGAUUCCAGGUCCAAGGGGCCCUUGGAACGUCCAGGGAUGGGUGGCCUCAAGGCGCAGUCCAGUGCCAUACAGCAAUACUUUUACAUAUCCUGGCUACAUCAAUGGAGGCUUUGGUGGCUACACAAGUAUGGCUGGUGGCAGUUUUCGUGGGGUUGCUUCUCUUGGUAAUGGCAAGGGGAAUCAAACUGGCUCUAAUGUGCAAGCAACAGCUGUUUCUUGUACGACAACAUCGCAAGUUGAAACUGUGAAGUUGGAUGCUAAGUAACAUCUUGGUUGAAAACCAUUGGAUGGCAAUUUCUUGAAUUUUUCCGGUUCAAUCAUCAAAAAAUAUUUUUAUGCUAGAAUUCUAGUGGUCUGUGCUACACUCCCAGAUGUUACUUCUCGCCGUGCGCCCAACACAGGCUUUCUCACCAUUUAGCUGGUAAUUGUUCUGAAGCCUGAAUCUCAAUUCUCUGAUGAAAAUAGCCAUUUGAAUGAACUCAACUUUCUUUUAUACAUUUGUGCUUUAACUUAAUUGGCUGAAAACUUGGUGGUUGGAUGGGUGGCCUGGCAGGACCACAUGUUAUAUUUUUUUUAAUUCUUAAAUGCUGUCUCAGCAACCUUGUGGUUUGGAUGGA